UACGGAGGGUCCAAGCGUUUAUCCGGAAUCAUUGGGUUUAAAGGGUCCGUAGGCGGUUUUGUAAGUCAGUGGUGAAAGCCCAUCGCUCAACGGUGGAACGGCCAUUGAUACUGCAAGACUUGAAUUAUUGGGAAGCAACUAGAAUAUGUAGUGUAGCGGUGAAAUGCUUAGAGAUUACAUGGAAUACCAAUUGCGAAGGCAGGUUGCUACCAAUA
rnacentral:rRNA from 1 species